AGGGUUCGAUUCUGGCGUCAGGAUGAACGCUGGCGGCGUGCUUAACACAUGGCAAGUCGAACGGAAAGGCCUUGUGCUUGCACAAGGUACUCGAGUGGCGAACGGGUGAGUAACACGUGGGUGAUCUGCCCUGCACUGUGGGAUAAGCCUGGGAAACUGGGUCUAAUACCAUAUAGGACCGCAUCUUGGAUGGUGUGGUGGAAAGCUUUUGCGGUGUGGGAUGAGCCUGCGGCCUAUCAGCUUGUUGGUGGGGUAAUGGCCGUACCAAGGCGGCGACGGGUACUCCGGCCUGAGAGGGUGUACGGACACAUUGGGACUGAGAUACGGCCAGACUCCUACGGGAGGCAGCAGUGGGGAAUAUUGCACAAUGGGCGCAAGCCUGAUGCAAGCGACGCCGCGUGGGGGAUGAAGGCCUUCGGGUUGUAAACUCCUUUCGCUAUCGACGAAGCCACUUGUGGUGACGGUAGGUAGAUAAGAAGCACCGGCUAACUACGUGCCAGCAGCAGC
rnacentral:rRNA from 1 species